rnacentral:lncRNA from 1 species
CCCAUUCCUUUUUAUUUUUGGAGAUAGGUUCUUGCUAAAUUACCCAGGCUGGCUUUGAACUUGUGAUCCUCCUGACUUAGCCUCAAAAGUCACUGGGAUUACAAGUGUGUGCACUAUGCCCAGCUAAUUAUCUCUUUUAACAGCAGUGAAGAAACCUGUCUAGGUCACCACAAGGCAGAGAAGGUGCCAGACCUCAUACCCCCUGGGUUCCAGGGGCUAAGAUUUAAUACUUCCCUGAGCUCCAAUCAGCUGCUUUGGUCAAGAUUCUCAUAACCUGGGCUCAGUGGUAGAGCGCUUGCCCAGCAGGCGUGAGGCCCUGAGUUCCAUCCCCAGUACUGCAUUAAAAAAAUGAAAAGAAAACAAACAAGAUUCUCAUAACUUUCUCCUGCUGCAGCCUGGAGGUGGAUUUGUCCCCAAGCACAUCAUUAGGAGUGUGCCUCUAAUAACUGCUUACCUGGCUGAGACUCUGUGCCACCAACACCUGCCAAGAGCACACUGUGCGGAAAAAGGAAUAACACGCCCACCUGCUCUCUACACCGGCAGAGGGCUUUUCUGCAUGAGACCUCUUUUCAGCUUUGUGUGACGCAGACCUGGAAACUAACGGUGGAAGCCUGGGCUCUGGUUCCGUGAGGUCUGCCUUCGGUGCCUUGUACAGCUGGAGAGAAAUGAGAGCUGGGGGUUCCUCUGACCCGGCGGGGUCCUGGCUGUGGGGUCCUGUGCAGAGUGUUUGUGGGGUAAUUUCACAUAUAGGCUAAAGAACUGUUUUGGGCUCAGACAGACACAAAAUUGAAUCCCAGGAGUCCUACUUUCUGGCAAUGUGCUCUUGAGCAAAUUUGACACUUCCCCCUCUCUAAGACAGUGACAAUGAAAGUACCUCCUGUAACAGGUAGCUUGAGGCUUAGUGCGGAGCUGGCGUAAUCAGCAAGAGUAAUCUUACAGGGCACAGCAGCUCCGAAAAUCCGCUCCACCUACUGCCUCAUGUGCAGAAGUUGAGUCUUCCCUGACCAGCUAACAAAGCCACCUCCUUACCCUCAAGCCAUGUCCCCAGUAAGGAUGAGCCUGCAGGAUGCCUCCUUCCCACUGCUCCAGGGCCCAGGACGCUGGCUCAGCCCGGAGGAGGCUCCUCUCUCUGCUAACCCCCCUCCAGAUCAAUCUCUAAUUCAGCGUCCUUUUGAGGACUAAAAAUCCAUCACCUUUGAAAAGUGCCAAUACGGCUGAGGCUACUGUCAGGUGGGCCAGAAAUGGAGUUCACUGUUUCCCUGGCUUUCAAGACUCUCCAGCUGAGCACUGCAGCUGGAACUCUCAUGUGGGCAAGAUCUCAGCGUGUGCAGGUUGCGCUGAGCUCACCCGCCGUCUGUCCACCCCACCUGCUGCUGGACCUUUUUCAUCUACCUCUUUGUUUCUCUAAGGGACAGUGAGGUUGAGAAGAUGAAGGGAUCAGGAUUUCACACACUGAAGAGCUUUUGUUUCUGUUUUUCAUAGAAGUGAAUACAUUAAAAUUUCCCUCUUGGCAUCAGCCUAUUGACUCCAAACACAGCUCUGAAAUUAGACCUUUCUGAUUUUAAGUUCUGUAAAUUCAAAGGUUCCUGGGAAACCUGCAGGUUUUUCAUUUUUAUUUUUUUCCCCUCUGAAGUAUA